rnacentral:lncRNA from 1 species
CACCGUUGGAUUGAAAGUUUAUAUCAUAUAGAUCAUUUAUGUAAAACUUCAGGCAAAUCCAAAAUCAUUUGAAUAUUGAGAUACAUUAAAAUUAACGAUUUGCGUCUUUUUUUAUAUGCCGUUAAUAUUUAUGUGUCGCAAUCUUUCUUAACCAAGUCAACAACAUCCUUAGGAUAGUCAAACCAUUCACCGUUCUUAUAG